ensembl:lncRNA
CGCAUGUAUGCUUUGUGAAACUUGUGUGUGUGAGAGAGCGAGACAGAACAGUGGUGUCUCGCUGUGUGAGACUAUGAUGUCAUAGUCUCAUCCCCUAUGCAUGGCUCUGGCUGUAUCAUGCUAAUCCAGACCGAGGCAGAUAGAGAUGACUAAGGAGAGAAGGGAGGAGAGAAAAUAACAGGAGGAGAGAGGAUAGAAGAGCACACGGAUCAUCCUUUGCAGAAAGGAGCAGUGAAACAACAUACAAGGCUCGUCUCUGUUCGACAACCUGAGCUAAAACAGACCUGAGGACCUCACACCGAGGACAGCAUGACCAAAGACUGACCAGGACCACGCUUUUGGAUUGAAAACACUAGUUGGAGCCAGAGUAAACCAUACUGCAGAUUAACCCUGGAUUAAGGAGAGAGGGGGACAAAUAUCUAACACUUGUUCCCUACUGGCACUUUACAGAACAGACUAAUAUCUGAUGUAAAUAUUGACAUUGUGUUGGAUGCCUGUCCUCGUCUGAAUUGCACUAAGAGAAAGAGAAGGUUAUGGGAGCUCAUCCAUAACCCUUUGACUCCUCAACUGGCGGUGACCUCAGAGAUGCCCUAGGGGCUGGGUUCGAUGUGAGGCAGCUGUCUGCUGCGGUCGACGUACAACCCACGUCUGACUUCUCUUUUUUUACUCCCUCUGUUUUCUUCUCUUGUUGUAGCUACACACCUCUUUUCCGCUCGGCCUGGGGCUUCAAAUAGUCCUCCUGUAAAUCCAUUCCGAGGGAAGACGCUGGAGGUCUGAGUCAGACUGCGCCCCUGAGAGAGAGUUGUGUGUGUCAGUGAGUCUGUCAUGUCUGUUUCACUUACUUACCUGUCACAUCUGUCCACCCGUCUGUCUGUCCGUGUGAAUAAGUGUGAGUGAUAGCGUAACGGUUUGCGGUGUCUGUUUCGCUGUCUGUCUGUGGGAAUCAGUGACUUCAUGUGACAAAACGCGUGUGUGCGUUUCUAUCAGCAUUCAACGAUACGAGCCAAUUCAACUCUGUGUGUAUUGCUCUCCAUAAACCCACAAUGGGCUGUGCCAUGUGCUCACAGUUGAUUGAUGUGUGGAGUCUGUCGGUGAGGAGAACCAGCCGAAGGGCCAUGGAACUGACUGCCCUUCCCGAGGCUCUCCAGGGGGGCUACCACAGAGUCACUGGCCUCCACUACAUGUCCUCCUUCUCCGAUGCAGAGGACUGCUGCGAUGACAACAACAGUCACAACAGCACCACCGGCAGCUCCUUCACUAUGGACUGGCAAGAGACAGAUGACUGACACUGGGGUGACAGGUAGCCUAAGCAGUGUUUCCCAACUCCAGUCCUCGGCUACUUGUCAACUAAUCAUCAAAUAAAAUCAGAUUUUAUUAGUCACAUACACAAGAUAUAACAGGUGUAGCCCUUACAGUAAAAUGCUUACUUACGAGCCCCUAACCAACAGUGCAGUUUCAAAAAAUACGGAUAAGAAUAAGAGAUGAAAGCAACAAGUAAUUAAAGAGCAGCAGUAAAAAAUAAAAUAACAAUAUAUACAAGGGCGUGCCGUUACAGAGUCAAUGUUGCGGGGCACCAGUUAGUUGAGAUAGUAUGUACAGUUGAAGUCGGAAGUUUACAUACACUUAGGUUGGAGUCAUUAAUAUUAGUUUUACAACCACUCCACAAAUUUCUUGUUAACAAACUAUAGUUUUGGCAAGUCGGUUAGGACAUCUACUUUGUGCAUGACACAAGUCAUUUUUCCAACAACUGUUUACAGACAGAUUAUUUCACUUAUAAUUCACUGUAUCACAAUUCCAGUGGGUCAGAAGUUGGGAAAUUCCAGAAAAUGAUGUCAUGGCUGUAGAAGCUUCUGAUAGGCCAAUUGAUCAUUUGAGUCAACUGGAGGUGUACUUGUGGAUGUAUUUCAAGGCCUACCUUCAAACUCAGUGCCUCUUUGCUUGACAUCAUGGGAAAAUCAAAAGAAAUCAGAAAAAAAUUGUAGACCAAGUCUGGUUCAUCCUUGGGAGCAAUUUCCAAAUGCCUGAAGGUACCACGUUCAUCUGUACAAACAAUAGUAUUCAAGCAAAAACACCAUGGGACCAUGCAACCCUCAUACCGCUCAGGAAGGAGAUGCGUUCUGUCUCCAAGAAAUGAACGUACUUUUGGUGCGAAAAGUGCAAAUCAAUCCCAGAACAACAGCAAAGGACCUUGUGAAGAUCCUGGAGGAAAUGGGUACAAAGUACCUAUAUUCACAGUAAAACAAGUCCUAUAUCGACAUAACCUGAAAAGUCGCUCAGCGAGGAAGAAGCCACUGCUCAAAACCCGCCAUAAAUAAAGCCAGGCUACCAUUUGCAACAGCACAUGGGGACAAAGAUCGUACUUUUUGGAGAAAUUUCCUCUGGUCUGAUGAAACAAAAAUGGAACUGUUUGGCCAUAAUGACCAUCGUUAUGUUUGGAGGAAAAAAGGGGAGGCUUGCAAGCUGAAGAACACUAUCCCAACCAUGAAGCACGGGGGUGGCAGCAUCAUGUUGUGGUGGUGAUUUGCUGCAGGAUGUACUGGUGCACUUCACAAAAUAGAUGGCAUCGUGAGGGUGGAACAUUUUGUGGAUAUAUCGAAGCAACAUCUCAAGCAAUCAGUCAGGAAGUUAAAGCUUGGUCGCACAUGGAUCUUCCAAAUGGACAAUGACCCCAAGCAUACUGCCAAAGUUAUGGCGAAAUGGCUUAAGGACAACAAAGUCAAGGUAUUGGAGUGGCCAUCACAAUGCCCUGACCUCAAUCUUGUAGAACAUUUGUGGCGUAUGUGAGCAUGGAAACCUACCAACCUGACUAAGUUACACCAGCUCUGUCAGGAGGAAUGGGCCAAAAUUCGCCCAACCUAUUGUGGGAAGAUUGUGGAAGGCUACCCGAAACAUUUGACCCAAGUUAAAUAAUUUAAAGGCAAUGCUACCAAAUACUAAUUGAGUGUAUGUAAACUUCUGACCCACUGGGAAUGUGAUGAAAGAAAGAAAAGCUGAAAUAUAUCAUUCUCUACUAUUAUUCUGACAUUUCACAUUCUUAAAAUAAAGUGGUGAUCCUAACUGACCUAAGACAGGGAUUUUUACUCUGAUUAAAUGUCAGGAAUUGUGAAAAACGGAGUUUAAAUGUAUUUGGCUAAGGUGAAUGUAAACUUCCGACUUCAACUGUACAUGUAGGUAGAGUUAAUUAAAGUGACUAUGCAUAGAUGACAACAGAGAGUGGUGUUGGUGUGGAGAGGGGGGGGGGGCAAUGCGAAUAGUCCGUUUGACAAGAUGUUCAGGAGUCUUAUGGCUUGUAGGUAGAAGCUGGAAAGAAGCCGUUGAAUGAGGUGUUCUUGUCCGGGGCAACAACGAAAAUGUGUACUGUUGGGGGUACUGGAGGUUAAAAGGUUAGAGAGGCGGUCCAGAACCGGAGGGUCGGCAGUUCAAAUACUGAGUUUGACGGGAAAUCUGUUCUGGACUAGAGUGAACUGGCAACCUGAGUCUAAUUUGUACCAAUAUCCUAUAGAUGCCAUAUCCUGCCCUUGUUUAAUGGAUGCAAAAAAUGCACUGAGUACAACCCAGGGGAUACCACGUUAAAAGUAUUCCACUUAUUUUCAACGUGGUCCCCGAUGGAAUUCAGACAAAACAACAUUAAUCCCUAUGCAUAGAAUAAGUAAAUAAAUCAAAUAAAAGAUACAAGAACAUCUAAUAAAAUACAGUCAACUUAUCCUGAUCCCACCAUUUUGUCUUCCUGGACGCUAUACACGUCCUACAUCAAAACAUCUACAUCUUUAGUGUGGCUUGUGAAAGUGCCACUUAUUUAUACAUUUCAUUACUCUUUACAAGGCUACUCCUCUUACACAUUUUUAAGAUAGAAAUGCCAAACUUUAAAACAUGCAAACUGAUCGAGAAAUAUUGUGCUUACAUACACUUUUAGAAACCAUUUAUACUUUUUUUUUUUACGAUUGAACUUUUAUUAAACUUCAUACACUUUAAUGGGAUUUCUUCAACAUUCUAAACCUCCCAUUAUUAAAAGAAUCCCAUUCUGAAGCUGUGACUUCCAACAUUCUAUUCACUGUAAACACUAACUUUUGACGUAAAUCAGCUACUUUCCCAACAACUUAGACAAACACAUAGAGGGUAUGAAAUCUUGAUAUACUUCUCUGCUUCUCAAAUCUGAAAUCAGAACAGAAUUAUCUUCUAUCAAUCAAAAACAGCUGUUUUAGGAACUGCAUCAACUUUUAAAAACAGACAUUUUCACCAUCUUCCUAACAAGUUAGACAAAAACUUGGAGUGUAUGAAAUCUUAGUCUACUUCUCUGCUUUUCAAAUAUAAUAUCAGAACACUUCUCCCACUACCACAAAAAUACUUUUAAAGAACUGAAGCAGGGCAUACAAUUUUCCUUCAUGUAAAAUGACCAUCUACUUAUCAAUAAAACUGUAUUCCAGCUAGGAUGGUCUCGGGGCCAGACCUCUGCUUUCACAUUACUGAUGUAGCAGAGGCAUAAAUUCCUGUCUGGCCACAUUUCCACUCUACAAAGAAAAUCGUGCAGGUUCAAUAUCAGAAAUGUUGACAGACAAUUUGUUCAUUUUACAAGGUGGAACUUUUUGUGUCUGUAAAAUUAAUUAUGUGACAAGUUGUGGUGGAAAUGAUUUCUUGCGCAUUUGUUGAUAGAAUAAUCAUAAUGUCAAGGUACAUUUUUGGAGUCAUGCUAUGUAAAAAAAGAAAAAAAGAAAAAAUGAAACAUAGAUACAACUAAACGAAAUAUAUUGUCACCAAAUAAUUAAUUAAAACAUGGGUUUGCAAUGAAGGUCUGUAGUAGCCUCAACAGCACUCUGUAGGGUAGCACCAUGGUGUAGCUGGAGGACAGCUAUUUUCUGUCCUCCUCUGGAUACAUUGACUUCAAUAUAAAACCUAGGAGGGUCAUGGUUCUUACUCCCUUCAAUAGACUUACACAGUAAUUAUGAAACGUUGGAGGAUGUCCUCCGGAAGUUAUCAGAGCUCUUGCAGCAUGAACUGACAUGUUGUCUACCCAAUCAAAGGAUCAGAGAAUUAAUCUAGUUCUGAAAGCAUAAGAUACAGCUAGCUAGCACUGCAGUUCAUAAAAUGUGGUGAGUAGUUGACUCAAAGAAAGUGAAAGACAAUAGUUCAACAGUUUUGAACAAAUUCGUUUCGAGAGAGCUAUAUUUCGUUAUAUUUUCUUUUAACUUUCACUUAUGAUGUGAAUGCAGCUAGCUAAUUGAGCCUAGAGGGAUGCUAUGUUAGCUAGCUGGCUAUGGCUAUCUAACACUGGAACUCUUCCAACUCAAGCUUUUGAUUUUAUUAAUUUAUUGCCAUUGGGGCCUGCCAGUGUAACUGCUAAACUACAUUGUACUGCAUGAUUGUAGCGGGUUUACUAACUCGUUAGUUCUAGUAGCUAAGAUGAUGUAGGUAGGCUGUGUGUAGCGGUUAUGAUAUGAAGGUUUGGCUUGGAAAGGUUUUUUUGCCUGGUCAAAGACAGCUGAUGUGUUGCUCACUGAAGUCCACAAAGGGAAAAUGUGAGAGAAGGAGAGCACGUAGACGUGAGAAGGAGUUCUACAACGAGAAAUAAUAUCAUGCUGUUUGUAUAUGACUGCUGUGAAAAUGAACUGUGUUUGCGUGUGAUCAGGGGUGUUCAUUUCGCCAAUUAUGUUGAAAAAUGUUUCUUGAACGGAAUCAAAUGGAAUGAAACGGGCAUAAACACACCUGAAUUUGCCUAAUAGAACCUCUCUUUUGCAACUCUUGACUGUGCCUGCAGCAUACCAGCCUGCAUCCUACUGCUGGCUUGCCUCUGAAGUUAAGCAGGGUUGUACCUGGUCAGUCCCUGGAUGGGAGACCAGAUGCUGCUGGAAGUGGUGUUGGAGGGCCAGUAGGAGGCACUCUUUUCUCUGGUCUGAAAUACUGUAACUAUCCCAGGGCAGUGAUUGGGGACAUUGCCCUGUGUAAGGUGCUGUCUUUCAGAUGGGAUGUUAAAUGGGUGUCCUGACUAAAGACCCCUGGGGGGAUAACCUAGGUGUCCUGGCUAAAUUCCCCAUCUGGCCCUCAUACCAUCACGGCCGCCUAAUCAACCCCAACUUCCAAUAGGCUCAUUCAUCUCCCCUGUAACUUUUCACCAGGUUGUUGCUUUAAAUAAGAAUGUGUUCUCAGUCAAUUUACCUGGUAAAAAAAGGGUUCAUUACUUAAUUUUUUUACACCCUAGAUCGGCUAGAUGCAGGCAAGUAGUCAAUACCCACUGGGCAAAAACUGGUUUAAUCAACAUUGUUACCGCCUUAUUUCAUCCCAAAAAAUCAAUGUGAUGACAAUGAAUCAACAUGGAAAACUGAUUGGAUUUGCAAAAAGUCAUCAAAGUAAGGGCAUUUUGUCGAAAGAAAAAUGUACCCAACUUUUUUCAAAUUCAUUUCAUGUUGGUUGACAACUCAAAACUAACUAGACCUUAAACGGAUGUCUGUGCCCAGUGGGGAUUAUCAAUAAACAGUUUGGUUUGUGAGACCACUUUGAAAUAAAUCUUAAUCACCAAAGCUUUAUUAAAAGAUCACGUUUGGCAGCAGCAAAACAGUGAGCGGACCAUCUCCUUUUUUUUUUUUAUCUAUGUAGGCUAUUAUAUUAUUUUAGCCAGCUCCUGCUAUUAUUUUGGAUGUCUGUAAAACCCCUCCAUGUAGUCUAUAUGCCCAUCAUGGACUGAGAGAUGAGAUCAUCCGGUGACAGUAUUUUCCUGUAACUAUUGCUUGUUUUCCAUUUCGUUUGUUAAAAAAUUCAAGCCCUUUGUAGUGUUAAGUUCUUAUUUUUCAGAGUAAAUAACUCACGGACACUAGAGAAGCUUUAACCAAGUUUAAUUCUUCCGAAAGGUUCUGUACAGCUGUAUUCAGACACCCAACAGACACCCAGAUAUUUAUAUCCCACUUAAGACACUCCUUCUUUCUCUCCAAUCCUUACAUUUUAUGGUCCUACAGGAAGAGAGUAAAGAGGGUAACAGGAUACCAAACCUUUAUUACUCCCUUAAGGGAAUCUGCCCUCACCUCCUGACCUCAACCCCUCCUUCCUCUAAUCCAUCUGUCUCCCCUGUAUCAACACGUUGCUCACCCGUCCCCCAACACAUUCCACAGCUAUCUGCCUUUCUACUGAGGCCCAGUCUCUUUCUCCUUUGAUUCUAUGCUUCUUUCCUAUCAUUUAUUUAAUAUCUCAAUGUUCAAAAUGUCGACUCCAACAGUAGGCUGCCCUCACACUACCAUAACCAAAGCUGGUUCAACAGCAAUGCGACUGAUGUCUUUCUUAUCCUGGCCAUGUAUUAGCCAAGUAGUCUAUCCAUAAAAGGUUUCUAAAUGGUCUACUCGCGAGGCUUUUGCCGACAUGCUUUUGCAAUAUUCUCAAUUCACAUAGGCGUAUCUGUAGUGCAUACUCCAUUCAACUUGUAUCCCAUUUCCAAAGAGCACCUCUUGUCCCGUUACCAAAGACGACCUCCUCCAAACAUACGCUAUUCAACAUUUUCAGUCCUAUAAUGCCUUAUCAACAGUAGGCCUAUACUAUGUCUUGCUUAUUGAGAAUGUGCCUCACACAUACAAUACCAUUUAAGGGAACCUAGUGUUUUUUUAUUUGAGGAGAAGUGCGAUGCUUGAAGGCCUAUACUCGUUGAAACCAAUUACAACAUAAUGUUGACUGUCAACACAUAAUGAGCAAACACUGGAUGUUUGUUUUUACUGUUACUGUCACACGUUAAUGUAGCCAAUGCUAUUUAAUAAACUGCAGUAUCAAUCCACAAUAGACUAGGAUCGGACGAUAUUAUUCGUGCCCCCAGCCAAAUGGGAGUUGAUGACAACUCAAAGACCGUCAAUAAUCUACAGAAUUUGAGACAAACACAUGCAGUAUUAAGCCAUGGAACUGCUUGAUUGGCCAGUGACUGGCCACACCUACAACUUUAUUCAUCAAAACCGAACCCUUGAUUGACAGUACUGCACAUAAACAUGACAGUGAGUUAACAUAAACACAACUGUUGGCUAAUACUCCUUGUGGGAAUGUGAGUGAGAUAAGGGGAACUGUUUGGGUUUAUGAACUUUCUUGCAACAGGAUUGACAGUACUGCACGUAAACAUGACAGUGAGUUAACAUAAACACAACUGUUGGCUAAUACUCCUUGUGGGAAUGUGAGUGAGAUAAGGGGAACUGUUUGGGUUUAUGAACUAUUAAAAUGAUCAACAUUAUAUUCAUUGUACAGUAUUUAUUAUUUCACAUCUGUAUCCUUUUGACUAUUUGUUUGUUUCUUUUGUCUUAUAGAAGGGAUUUGGGAAGACUUUCUUGGAACUCUCAAAACAUCCCACAAUGAUGUGGCCUUACCAUCAUGGCUCACACUGUCAUAAACAAGCCAGUAUUUUUUUCUGACUAAGUGACCGGACAAGGAAAAGAUACUCGAACCUGGAGUUCUGAAUGACUUUUGGCCCUACUCAAGUGAAUUACUCUGGGCCCUGAUCAUAAUGUAUCCGUCUACAAUAAAUCUAACAUUGAAAUACUGUCAGUGUCUUGGCUCAAAGAUGUAGUACAAGUGUAUUAUAGAUUUCUUAGUAAAAUAGCUUGAUUAUACAGUUUCUCGUGUGUCAGUCAGUCAAUACAUUGCUUAUGAUUCCCUUGACGUUGGUCUAUUAAAAGAUGGGUGCAGGAAAAAUCUGUUGCGUAUUAUACAACACCAGCCCCUAUUUUGGCAAAGACGCGGGGGGUCACACACCGGGUCAGACACUGUGGACCCACGCACAUAACUCUGUUCUGUAGGAAUCUCUCACCUGGGUGAGAUCAAGUAGCCUGGAUCUCACAUCGCUGCGCUCAC